rnacentral:lncRNA from 1 species
UCAAGUCUGAAGCCUCGGUAUUUAUGUGGUUUAUGGUGCCUGAUUACUUCUUCAGUGAUCAAAUUUUGGUACCGCUCAGUUGCAUCUUGCAUGCUAACAUGUCAUCAUGGAGAAUUAAACUUCAGAAUUUUAUCUAAUUAAAAAGAAAGAAGUGGCAAAACAGUUCUCAAAUUUUCAACAGAAGCUGCAAUCCAUUCCUGAUUCUGGAUCCUUUGUCAAAGUAUGUACAGCUACUUACAUCACAGAUUCAGGUAACAAAAUGCAGCCAACAGAAUUCCCUAUCAACGAACAAACAAUUGGAAAGUAGGAAACAAGUGGAAAAUUUUGCUCCUGAUUGCUUGAUCAAUCAUGCCAGGUCAUGAGCAUCGCUACACAUCGACGGAUGAUAUAGAGCCUGGCCUUCUGCUGUUUCAGUGCCCUCUUGAGGCCCUUGAGCUUCAGAUCAUGAGCACCCAUCCUCAUCUUCAUAUUGAGAUGUCAAAAGGUGGUUGAAGAUGAUGAUCAGACAGCUUUCCGGUUGGGUUUGGAUUUUUGAGAAGUUGGUUAUGUUG